AGAUUGAACGCUGGCGGCGUGCCUAACACAUGCAAGUCGAGCGGUAACAGGUGUAGCAAUACAUGCUGACGAGCGGCGAACGGGUGAGUAAUGCUUUGGAAUCUUCCCAGUAGUGGGGAAUAACCAGUCGAAAGAUUGGCUAAUACCGCAUACGUCUGUAAAGGGAAAGCGGGGGCUCGUAAGACCUCGCGCUAUUGGAUGAGCCAAAGUCGGAUUAGCUAGUUGGUGGGGUAACGGCCUACCAAGGCGACAAUCCGUAGCUGGUCUGAGAGGACGACCAGCCACACCGGAACUGAGACACGGUCCGGACUCCUACGGGAGGCAGCAGUGGGGAAUAUUGGACAAUGGGGGAAACCCUGAUCCAGCGACGCCGCGUGUGUGAAGAAGGCCUGCGGGUUGUAAAGCACUUUUAGUGGGGACAAAAGCUACGGAUUAAUACUCUGUGGUCUUGAUUUAACCCAAGAAAAGCACCGGCUAACUCUGCGCCAGCAGCCGC
rnacentral:rRNA from 1 species